CGGAGCCCUUCGCCACCGCCGGUGUCCGAGAGGACCUGCCGCCGUCUUCCCCACCAAGAUCUCCACCCUCUCCCCCGCCAGCGUCAUCCACUCACGUUCUUUCCUUAAAGCGGGGAGGCCCCAGAUCGAGUUGAGCAAGUCAGGGGCCGCCGCCGACGCGGAUCCCCACGAACGAGCCAGCCAUCGCCGGUGCGGUUCCCCACGAACGAGCCAGCCAUCGCCGCCUCGGAUCCCCACGGACGCCGCCGCGGAUCACCACCGUAGCCCUCUCCUUCUCCCCCUCCGUCCUUUGGGGAGAAGAGCUUCUGUGGUAGGUCGUUGUCGGCGGCGGUAUCACACCUCUCACUCGUCUUCUAUCAGAUUGUGCCAGACCAACCAUCAAGUUAUUUUCACCUGGCAACAUGUGCUCGUGAUGCCAUUUGAAUUUUCGAGCAAGUCUCGGUCUUUCCUGGUCCGGCUAUCCAGGCGACAAAUGCCAACUUGGUAGCAGUUAUCGAGCAUGGCUAAGAAGAAGCCAACUUUACACUUUCAUCACAAAGGUGAGAAGGCUAGCGAAGUGGUCCGUGCCAACAUGAAGAAACUUGAAGAUGCCAUUCAUGGAAAUUCUACACAACUAAGAUCUUUUUUCAUACACUGAUGGCAUCGACGACUACAAUGAGGAGCACAAUAGCAGCAAGUCAGUACCAGCGAGCAGGGAGGAGGGCAACCAGCUUCAAAGCAGACUUCAUCCAGAGAAAGGCACUUAUUCACCCUUAUUUUGUAGAUACUCCCUCCAUUCCAAAAUAUAGCGCGCCCGCGCUUUCCGAGGUUGAACUUUGACCAUAAAUUUAACGAACGAGACCGACUACGGCGGGAAAAAAAAUUACAUAAUUAAAAACUUCUUUCGACUACAAAUUCACUGAUAUAACUUUUGUUCCCGCCGCAAUCGGUCUUGGUAGUUAAAUUUACGGUCAAAGUUGAAGCACGGGGAUAGAGGAAGCACUACAUUAUGGAAUGGAGGGAGUAGUACUUAUCCUUUUUAUAGUUUCAGACGAAAUUUUUAUUAUCGAUAAUUAAUAUUCCAGUAAUUCUGAAACUAAUAAACAUUAAUGAGAAAUUUGAAAAAUAGGAAGGACACUAGGAAUAAUAGCGUCCAAGGCUGGGCGUCAGUACCAACAAUGUCCAAGGCUGGACGCUCUUAUAAACAGCGUCGUGUUUGGUUUGACCAGACCCCGCCUGGCUACCUUCGGCCUUUGACUUGUACCCUCAGCCACCUCCACAGGACUAAAGCUAGACUCCGUCACCUCUAGCCCGUCGAAAAUGGCGCUUUAACAUUAUUGUGUUUGAUGG